CUUUAGGAUCCUUUAGGAUCCCCCACAAAUUACGUACACAAACAUAU
rfam:Biomphalaria glabrata isolate BB02 linkage group LG65i unlocalized genomic scaffold LG65i_random_Scaffold155, whole genome shotgun sequence.